UUUCCGUAGGUGAACCUGCGGAAGGAUCAUUAAAAAAUUGGACUCCAUUGGUGAGUUCAUUAAUAAUCCCUACCCUUUGUGAAUUUGUUUGUUUGAAUAAUUUUUUUUCCAAAAAAAAUUAUUGAAUGUCUUUCCUUGUUUUGGUGGAGCUUGUAAAGUGAAACCAGGCAGGGGAAUGGCAAACAAUAAUUAUUUUUGAAAAAGACCUUUUUUUAAAAUUAAACUUUUUGUAUUCAUUUGUCUAAAAUUAAUUUUUAUAAUAUAAAAACAACUUUUGACAAUGGAUCUCUUGGUUCUCGCAACGAUGAAGAACGCAGCAAAAUGCGAUAAGUAGUGUGAAUUGCAGAAUACGUGAAUCAUCAAAUCUUCGAACGCAUAUUGCACUUUUUUAGUUUACUAAAAAAGUAUGUCUGUUUGAGUAUCAGUAAAAUAUUCUCAUAAAAAACAUUGUUUUUUUUAUGGUUAUGAGUGUUUUACAACGAUAACAAGUUGUUUCACUUUAAAUUCUUUGUUAUCAAAAAAAUCAUUAAAAGCUAAUUUUAAAGAUUUUUUAAAAUUGGAUAAAAUUUUCCCGUAAAAAGGAAUAACCUAAACAAUUUCAAAAAAUUAAAAUUGGUUUGAUUUUUUUUGAAACCCAAAGGAAAAAAAAACGAAAUUAACUUGAUCUCAAAUCAGAUAAGAGUACCCGCUGAACUUAAGCAUAUCAAUAAGCGGAGGAAAAGAAACUAACUAGGAUUCCCUCAGUAACGGCGAGUGAAGCGGGAAGAGCUCAAAUUUGAAAUCUUCAAGGUUUUACCUUGACGAAUUGUAGUUUAAAGAAGUGUUUUCUGUUGGAGUUUUGGUAAAAGUUCUUUGGAAAAGGACAUCAUAGAGGGUGAGAAUCCCGUAUUUGACCAUUAUCUCCAGCUUUGUGAUACACUUUCAAAGAGUCGGAUUGUUUGGGAAUGCAGUCCAAAAUGGGUGGUAAAUUUCAUCUAAAGCUAAAUAUUGGCGAGAGACCGAUAGCGAACAAGUACCGUGAGGGAAAGAUGAAAAGAACUUUGAAAAGAGAGUUAAACAGUACGUGAAAUUGUCAAAAGGGAAGCGUUUGACACCAGUGUUGUUUUCUCGAAAAUCAAUUAAAAAAAGUUGGAUUUUGUGUUGUAUUGGCCUUAACAGCUUGCUUCACUCUUUUCUUGCUUUUUUUAAUGCACCUUUCGUUUAACAAGUCAACAUCAGUUUCUUUUGUUGUAAAAGGGUCAUUGGAAGGUGGCUUUCUCUUCGGAGAAAGUGUUUAUAGCCUUUGAUCUCUGCAAUCGGAGAGACUGAGGUCUGCAGCGUAGAUCCUUCGGGGUUAGAUACAUUUGUGCUAAGCUACAGCUUUUCAUAGACAACUUGUUGACUAUGUUUAGUCUUGUAACUUACCCGCUUAUGCUAUUU
rnacentral:misc_RNA from 1 species